GCGUGAAGUUGGCAUUGUUUACCAGCCUGCACUUCUCGAAAAUGGUGCUACCAGCCUGUAAAAAUAUGGGAUUUUUUCUAAUUCGCAUUAUCUACAGGCUGAAAAAUAAUCGUUGAUAUUCUCUUGAGAGGGAUUUUUCACAUUUAUUUUCUUUAGGUUGGUGCUGAAUAAAAAACAAAGGUGUCUUUCCUCCAGUCUGGUUCGAAAUUUUUUAGGGUUCUGCCUCUUCUAUUUGGGUUCGUCUGAUUCUCUUUCUCUCGUCUCAUCUCUUCCGUCGAGCAGAGAACGACAUCCCUGCUGUUUUGCCGGCGUGAUUCAAGUUCUGAGGAGGGUCAUCGGUGGUUGGUGCCUGGGGUUUUUCAGGCGUAGCCUGGGGGACGCCCUUCGCCGGAUAGGCGAAGGAGGAGAGGUGGUGUUGGUCGAUACUGUGAGAUUAUUUGAGGGAGAUUUGAGCGAUGGAGGAGAUUGAGAGAGAGAGAGAGGGCAGCGGCGGCUGCGAUUUGGGGAUCUGGGUGGUGCCGCCAUUCAAUAGGCGGCGGCGGUCACAACGUUUGAGAGAGAAAGCUUGUUCGGGAAAAGAGAUGAGGCGAGGAGCCCUGGGCCGAAGGCGGCGGCCGUGACUUGGUCACCGAAGGUCAGAGGAGGUGGCGAUGGUGGGAGUUGAAAUUAGAUUUGUGGUUGCUGAUUUGCUGGUUUGAUGGAGUUAAGCAGCCAUAUGGUUUGAAUCUGUGGUUGCUGGUCUGCUAAUUCCCAUGUUUAUGAUGAGGGUCUGAUGGGCUUCGAGAGUUUGGUGGCUGGAGAGGCCAGGUGCGCGGUGACGGCGUGGUAGACAGAGACGAGUCGCGCGGCGGCGUGGCGUUGCCGGCGGCCGUAGCUGAUUUGUGUGGCGUUUCGCGUAAGCUUGUGCGGAGGGCGAGGGUGACCUUGGGACGCAAUCGUUGUUUGUCCAGCGACUUCAGCAGCUCCACAACCGGCGACUGCUAUCUACCUGAACAGUUGGCUCGAAGCGCGCGGUGGCGUUGUGAUGUCGCCGACUGCCAGAGUCUUCGAAGUAAUGGUAGUUGUUGCCAACGGAGAGGCGGCGUCGCAGUGGUCGCGUAGAUUAGGGAUCUGAGGUUCAGGGUGGCGUCGUCGCUCAAUAGACGGCGAUGGUGACUGAUAUCGAAUGGGAGACGAAAGAUAGGGUGAGAUAAGGCGGCGAUUUCGCCGAAGGUCGAAAUUGGAGGGGGUGGCUCCCUUUUUCUGCCAUUGCUUGAUUAGAGGAGAGGGGGCCUCCCGGCGGCGCGCGUCUAUGAAGGAGAAGAGAGGAGGAGAUGGGCCGAAAGCGGCGAUGGUGCAUCAGGCUUUUCAGGCGCGGCCCUGGGCCCUUGGGCAAACGGCGGUCGGAGGCGACGCCUUUCGCCUGGGGCGGUGGCUGGCUGGGCGGAUUUUGUCCGUUUCUUCUGAGUGAGGCGGAAGGGAAGAAUGAGGGAGAGAGAGGUCAGCAGCUCUCCAGGGUGGAGUUAGAGACGAGGCGCGCGGCGGCGGCGUGGCGUCGCCGGUGGCCGUAGCUGAUAUGUGAGAUGAGAUACACGAGCUAUCUCCAUUGUUUAAGUUUUCUGCUCAAUAACGAUCGAUUGACUCGAGCAUCUUUCAGAUUUGGGAGAGGCAAAAUAGAUUGGUGGUUUUGAGCAAUGGCUUGGAAGAACUUGAGAACGUCGUGGAGUUCGUGGACUCGAAGGAAGGAAAAUUUAGCUCCUGUCUCGUGUAAGCCUGUGCGGAGGGCGAGGGUGGUCUCACGACUUGUGCAGCGAUUUCAGCAGCCCUACAACCGGCGACUGCUGUACCUGAGCAAUUGGCUCAAGGCGCGCGGUGGUGGUGCGAUGUCGCUGGCUGCUGUUGCUGGAGGUCCAAACUGGAAGGAAUUGUAGGCUGAGAGAGAUGGAGCUCUGCAACUGGAGAGAGCCAUUGUCAUCUAUUCCUUUAUUUAUGGAUUUCAUUUUUGUCUUUUGGAGGUUUUGAGCACCUUGCAGCGACGACGAGUGUGGGAGAGUAGGGCAGAGAAGUGACGAGAUAAAAAAGGUCCAGAGGAGCUUGUGGACUGACUAUUUGUCAAAUCUUUUGUUACGGAGUAAGGGAGAUGCAGCCUUUGUAUAAUUACAUGCCAUGUGAAUUAUAAUAUCUUGCCUUUUAUUGAUUGA